rnacentral:rRNA from 1 species
GAUGAACGCUGGCGGCGUGCUUAACACAUGCAAGUCGAACGAUGAAGCCCAGCUUGCUGGGUGGAUUAGUGGCGAACGGGUGAGUAACACGUGAGUAACCUGCCCCCGACUCUGGGAUAAGCCCGGGAAACUGGGUCUAAUACCGGAUAUGACCUCGCACCGCAUGGUGCGGGGUGGAAAGAUUUAUCGGUGGGGGAUGGACUCGCGGCCUAUCAGCUUGUUGGUGAGGUAAUGGCUCACCAAGGCGACGACGGGUAGCCGGCCUGAGAGGGUGACCGGCCACACUGGGACUGAGACACGGCCCAGACUCCUACGGGAGGCAGCAGUGGGGAAUAUUGCACAAUGGGCGAAAGCCUGAUGCAGCGACGCCGCGUGAGGGAUGACGGCCUUCGGGUUGUAAACCUCUUUCAGUAGGGAAGAAACGAAAGUGACGGUACCUGCAGAAGAAGCGCCGGCUAACUACGUGCCAGCAGCCGCGGUAA